UCAGAAACCUCUGGGAGUCUGCUUUUCAUGUAGCAAACAACCUAGUAAGAAAAACUAGCUUUGGAGCCAGCCCUGGCUGGAAAAAAAUGAAGUUAAAUGAAACUCUCUCCGCAACAUUGGGCUAAAACCUUUUGCUGUUUCUUGCUGAGCCUACCUGGCUGGUGCCAUCAGUGAAAGACAAAUCAGAACAGAUGAAGAAUGUGACUUUCAGGGGAUAAAUUAGCACCAGAAGCCUGGAAGGAACUCCCUGCCAGCAGGAGGCGGCCAGCUCUAGCUUCCUGGGGCUUUGAAAAAGACCUGGCUCAGUCCCGAGGCUGUGACAUGGUGGAGGAAAUGCUGGACUAAGAACCAGACACCUGGCUUUGAGAACGCAGGUCUGCUGUGAACUCACUGAAUCUAUUCUCCUGUCUGUACAAUGGGGAUGAUAGUAGAGAUAUUCUGGAAUUAAAUGAAAAUGACCGGCUAUGUUACUCAUGUACUCGAUAGGUGAGGAUGGGCUGUUGGAAAAGAAAAUUCAUUUAAAGAAGCAAUCAAGAGGCCCUGGCCUUGGGGUGGGGUAGUUUAGUGCAAGAGAGUAGGAAGACUCUUGGGAUGGAGGAAGAGGAGGAAAACAGUCCCGUGGGUUAUUUCACUAUGGUGAAGGUGGCCAUCCUUCAAGCUGGCACGACCAGCCUGGGAUAUUAGUCCACAUUCCUUUCUCCUCUAGCUUCUUAGACUGACAGUAUUAAAAGGACUGCUUGAGCAAAUGCUAUUUUGACAUAACCUCAUUCUGCAUCAGAGCUCAAAGCAUUGCCAUUCUACCCUUUCGCUCAUGCGGCUGGCCCCAUGCUAACUUCAAUCCCUUGUUCAGUUCUCUGUAAGCUCUUUGCAGGGCACAGUGGCGUUCAUGUGCAUUCUCACAUUUGAUAACUGUCUGUUUACCCCAGAAGACUGCAAGGUCCACAAAGUUAGAGACCCUGCUAGGAACCCAGGGCUUAUGUAGCAUUGUGCAUGUAGCAGGCAACCUGGGUGGCUAUACCAGCAACAGCAGAGUGUACAGUCCAUUCAUGGUCAUGCCCAGCCAAAUAACUUACAGUUAUACCUUGCAGUUCUCAUAAAGAGAUCUAACCUAGUCAAGGAAGUCAGGGGCCAAUUCCCUGAAGAAGCAGUGACUGAGCUGAGUUCAGAGGUAAGGAGGAGUAGCAGAGAGGGUUGGUGAGAACACUCCAGGUAGAGGGAACAGCAUACAUAAAGUCUGGCUCAUGAUCUGCAGAGCAAUGGAACACCUCUGCAGAAUCAGGCAGAGGAGUGAUAUUAUCUGGUUUGUGUUUCAAAAGGACCAGUAGGUUAUUAUCACUAAGUCAGUUUUUGUGGGGUUGUAAAUACUGUGUGCUGUUUUUUACAGAAGGGAAAAAGAAAAACUCUUCAUUCAAGAGAAGUCAUGAUUUUAAAGUAUAUUCUACGAACGCUUCACUGUCAAGGACUCUGUGGAGGAGGGAAUGGAGGACAGUGUUUUUAGAAGCUGUGACCUCUGGGCAAGCCUCACUUUAAACAGUGAAAGUGUCGCUUAAAAGUUGGCUGCAAGUCAGGUUUUUGUCCACUAAACCCUGCUUCAAGUGCCCAGUGGAAACUUGCUCCAUAAAAUAAUUACGUGGUAAAAGUUUUAUGGAGGAUGGUUUUUAUUCAAAGUCACCCCCUAAAUCAACUGACUUGUAAAUGAUGUGUUCUGUAACUACAAAAUGAAGACCCCAAGAAGCUUCAGGGACCUCAAAGAUCCUGGAUUCAAUACCUGCAUAUUACAGACAGAGAAACUGAGGUACGGAGAGGACACACAGAGGCCACCACCCUGCAUGAGAUGAGCCCCAUGGCAGAAACUUGGUUACAAUGACUAAUGUAAUCGAUCAGGCUAAGUCGCUCCCUACAUUUCACUUUCAAAUGUUUCAAAUCAUGAAGAUUGCUUGACUAGCUGUUGGCUUUGUGGUAUGAAGACACAGCCAAAGAAAGGGUGAGCAGUCUUUUUCUUUUGACUUGGUAAAGCUAGGAAGGCAAAUGAAUGAGGGAAAGAAAUCAUAUCCAUAUUAUUCACUUUGCAGCUGUAUUUAUCUGGCAGUUCAGUUUGUCAGUUCAAGGGGGAAAAGGACCAUUGGGGAGGGGAGGGGAGGAGAAACUCUAAGGACAAAUUACAAUGGGCAUUCUGAAAAGACAGUAACUUUUUAUUUUUCUAUGGCAUUUAAGACCCAGACUUGAAUUCUUUAUUCAAUUAAAAACACCCACUAAGGUCAGGCAAAAUUUAACCAUGUAAUGCAGGAUGCUGGUGGCCUUUUUGGGAGCAGAAACCACUUCCUGGCUCCAGAACUGGAUCUGAGGAGAGACUCAGGGAGAUGAGGGCAGGUUGCUGCAUUGAAGUCUUGAGAGGACUGAAGAGGGGGCUCCAUUGCUGAUAAAGCUUCCCAUCCUACUGCUCCAGGAAGCCCCAGGGAGCGCAGAGAUGAUGUGGGAAGCAGGAGGUGGAAGCUUAGGGGUUUCCACCAUCUUGGAGGCCUUCAGAUAAGGUGUAACCACCCACCUGUGGAUCACAAUAGGGACCCUGGGGAGAGGGGCUUGGAAAGGAUUAAAGCAGAGUUGGAAGGAGGCCCAGGGAAGCCAGGAGGCCGAGCUGAGGCAGGCUCAAUGCCCAGUCUGAGCUGUAGAGGAGUAGCUGAGCUCUGCACUUUGCCAGCCAUAUGACCAUGGACCGAUUUACCCUGCCUAAGUCACAGUUUUCUCCUGUGUAAAAUGAGGAUAAUAAUAGUAUGUAUCACAUAGAGUUGUUGAGAAAAUGAAAUAUGAUAAUGUAUCUAAAAGUGCUUCUUGUGCAGUCUGAUAUGUGUGAAAGAUUUAUUAUCAUCAUCACCAUCAUUCUCAUCAUGGUUGCAAUAGGACUUGCAUUCUGAACAUGUGACUCCUGGGACCUGGGAAGCAAAGCUCUCAAAUAAAAAUGAGGUUAGCUGAAGCGUAGAUUCACUCUGGGAAGCAGACACUUCUGAGCAGAAUGACACACCGUGGCCUUGUCAAGGCUUCUGCCAUGGGAAGGAACUAAGUUGCCUCCUGGAAAAAAAAAAAAAACUCACCAGUUUGGGUGAGAGUAGGAGCACCCACGCUUGGCCCAAGGACAAGGUCCAGAAGUGGAGAUUUAAGGUGGUUGUGAAUACAGGAUGAAGACUUUUAUCAGCCUACUGCCCGUGAGCAUAUGUAAGUUAAAAGGGAGUAAGAGGAAUCUCUUUUGGGAUCCCUGUAACAAAAUGGGACUUCUCUCUAGUGUGGUGGGCACCACUGCGUGGCAUGCAGGUGCUAUAAGGAACUAUGCACAAUCGUGACACCAGGAGCUGCUGAAGAGAUAAGAUAAAUAAUGCUGCCAUCCAGGCCUGGGGAUCAGACUAAAGUCAUGGAAUUUUUCACCAGGAGCAGCUAAGCCUUAGUGGCCCAGCAGCAGCUCAGCCUUGAUGGCCAAGGAGCAGUGACAGCCCUGCAGACAUCAAAGGCACUGGGAAAGGAUCCCAACAGGGAGGCAGAGCAGAAGAGAAGGAAAAUGAGGGACAAGAAAUAAUAUUUGGGAGCAAAUGUACAGUGUUCCCUGGGCAUCCUCAGAAAGACUGGAAGGGGGUUCCUGUCUGGGGGCUUCUGGUGGUUCUGGAAGAGCUGUUGAAAGCAGAGUGAGACAGGAACAGCAUGUGCCUGGUUAUGAUCCCAGUUUUCCCCUCAGGCUGGUGUGGCCUAGGAAACACACAUUGUGCAAGUAAACAAAUCACUAUUAGGAGCUUAAAAGAUCAAGCUUGGCCUUGCCUCCUUUUACAAACACUCAGACAUGAAAACUGGUGUCAUUUUAAGCAGCUUUCUCCAUAGAGCAGGGUUUGCAAAGCUGCAUGUCAGAUAUGAUAGUGAAUCGGGACAUCAAUAUCAAUCUAGUGAGUAAAAGUAGAAUUUGAAAAAUAAAAUCAUUUCGAAUACAAAAUCAGAGCAUAUUGCACCAGUAAGGAUAACUAUUGCCUUGUGAAGGCUUUGUUUCCAUUCUUUGUGUAUGUAUGUAGGCAGAGUUGUGAUAGAAAUUGUGCUUCUUUCAGUUUACAACCAAAAAAAAAAAAAAAAAAAGAAGAAGAAGAACAAGAGAAAACAAAAAGAAAGGGAAAAAGAAAAACUGCAUGAGAGGAUGCUAAAGAUCCUUUCCCAACCCAGGAGUCCAAAAUGGCAGGGAAAUGAUGUUGAGUCCAAUAAAUUUCACUUACUGGUUGAAGUUAGCAAUUA